UACGUAGGGACCAAGCGUUGUUCGGAUUUACUGGGCGUAAAGAGUGUGUAGGCGGUGCUCUAAGUUCGGUGUGAAAUCUCCUGCUUAACUGGGAGGGUGCGCCGGAAACUGGGGUGCUCGAGCGUGGGAGAGGAAAGCGGAAUUCCUGGUGUAGCGGUGAAAUGCGUAGAUAUCAGGAGGAACACCUGUGGUGUAGACAGCUUUCUGGACCAUUGCUGACGCUGAGACACGAAAGCGUGGGUAGCAAACAGG
rnacentral:rRNA from 1 species